UGCUCUCAUUUUCACAUGGUCACUCCCUUUGUUUCAAGGAGAAAGAGCACGUCUCCAUCAUUUUACACUCUCUGUGGUUCAGUCUCCGUGGAAGAUCUCCAAGAUGUGGAUCACAAUGAGCUCACGAUCUCGACCGAAGAUGGGUUCUCUAAGAUAUUCAAUAGUCUAUGACUACUUGAUCGUCAGAUUUGCAUAUGUAGUAGUAGGCGUUGUCAAGCCAUCUCAAUUGAGGUAUUUUCGUUUUAACUCGCCAAUUCUUGGCUUAGAUCACUAUUUUGUUUUGCAUUUUUAGGAUUUUGCAUGUUCUACAACAUUUUAUUAUUUAUUUUUUAUGUGAUUCUUUGUAACUCCAUGCUUUAAUUCGAGAGAAUCAGAUAUUGAAGUAGUUAAUGCUUCUCUAUUCUAUACCUUAUUUAUUUAUUGUCUUGUUUAUUGUUGUUAUAGUUUCCUUUGAAAGUUCUAUAUAAUCCAUGGAGAAAAUGUCCCAGGAAGUUGAAAUUUGAAGUUGCUUACUAUUUUUGUUUAGUUUCAAUACAAGGCAAUUGCUUGUUGUUUAUGACAUUGACAAUAGGCUGCAAGCAAGAAUAAUGAUGUGGAUUUAGUUUAUUUUAUUGGAAGUAAUUUUUUAAUUGAGCAGGUGAAUUAGAACUUCAUGUUUCCCCUUUUAUUUUGAAAUUUGCAAAUUUGCAUCCAUAGGGGAUGCAUUCGAACUUAUGUUGCACAAUACUGAUCUUGGAAAUCGUUGGAAGCCAUUAAGAAGAUCUCAAAAUAUGCUGCUCAGAAUAUAGUGGGCAAAUUACAUGGUAUGAAUUCAAAUUCCUCUAUUCGACCUUUGAUCCCCUUUUUACUCUAUUUACCCGUGUUAUACUUGUGUUGUUUCAUUUAUUUGUUUCCGUUUUUGCUCCAUUUUUCCUCUUUAAUUAUGUUUCGAGUAUUGUUUAAUUUAGGUAGAGAAUUCAUAUAAUCUAUUUAAAUUAUGAUUUGUUGAAUUCUAGAAUUAGAGCUUUCAACCUAAUUUAUUGAAUUUAUUUAUAGGUGAUUCUUUACGCCAAAAAAUAAAAUAAAAAUUCCUUUCACUUUAUAUAUUAUUGCAUCUUUGGGUUUGUGCAUAUAAGUAUCAAAUUAUUGCCAAUUGGUCACAAUCUGGUCACAAUCUCAUUCAAGCUCUAUAUUCGAUGAUUGAUUUAUUCAUUUGCAUAACCCAUAUUUGUAUUUGCUCAUUCUUCUUGUUCAUGGACUUUUUGGUUUUAAUUUGUUAGAUUUGAUGUGUUCUGUGGUGAAAUAGCUAUUCAUGAUUCCUUUUGUGCGUGCUUUUGGUAAGAAUUAUAUUGUCCUUGCUUAAAAUUGUGGAGACUAUAGGUGAAAGUGUGACUAAUCUCCAACUAGGCUCAAUGGCAAUUGUUCAUUCUCAGGGCAGUUCCUUCACUAGACCGACAACAUUGGUCUUUGAGGAUCGUCUUGCCAAAUUGUCUGAUGGACUUGAUGCUUGAACAGCACACAGUGAAGCAUAAACAAGAAGAUGAAAGGAGAAUCGUCUCGGCUAAUCAUUGGGAUCUCCGUAGGGAUAGUAAUUGGCGUGCUUUUGGCUAUAAUGGAACGGUUUUGCAUUACCAUAGACGACGCUAACAGAUAUGGAAUAGUAGUUCUCGGAGGAUGGCAACCAUCCCUAUUCGUACUAAUGGUGUUGAUUCUUGUACAGUAUUAUCAAAUCCUUCUGCUAGUAUGGAAUCACCCAGAAUAUCUGUGUAGAAUGGCAUGUCUUUGUGGCUUGGAGUUGGAGGACUUAAAAGGGCUAAUAUGGUUUCUGCAUCUAGAAUGCUUUUAUCUAAGAUUCUUCGUUCAUCUUUUGAGCAUGUAUCUUAACAAGCAUUGUAAUGUUUUCUUUAA